rnacentral:rRNA from 1 species
AGUGAACGCUGGCGGCAGGCCUAACACAUGCAAGUCGAACGGCAGCACAGAGGAGCUUGCUCCUUGGGUGGCGAGUGGCGGACGGGUGAGGAAUACAUCGGAAUCUGCCUAUUUGUGGGGGAUAACGUAGGGAAACUUACGCUAAUACCGCAUACGACCUACGGGUGAAAGCGGAGGACCUUCGGGCUUCGCGCAGAUAGAUGAGCCGAUGUCGGAUUAGCUAGUUGGCGGGGUAAAGGCCCACCAAGGCGACGAUCCGUAGCUGGUCUGAGAGGAUGAUCAGCCACACUGGAACUGAGACACGGUCCAGACUCCUACGGGAGGCAGCAGUGGGGAAUAUUGGACAAUGGGCGCAAGCCUGAUCCAGCCAUGCCGCGUGGGUGAAGAAGGCCUUCGGGUUGUAAAGCCCUUUUGUUGGGAAAGAAAAGCAGCCGGUUAAUACCCGGUUGUUCUGACGGUACCCAAAGAAUAAGCACCGGCUAACUUCGUGCCAGCAGCCGCCGUAAAAC